rnacentral:misc_RNA from 1 species
AACGCACCUUGCGCUCCUUGGUAUUCUGAGGAGCAUGCCUGUUUGAGUGUCAUGGAAUUAUCAAACCUUCAUUUUAAUUUAUUUUAAAGGGUCGGUUUGGAUUUGGAGGUUUUAUUGCUGGUCAUAUUUGUGGUCGGCUCCUCUUGAAUGCAUUAGCUUGAGCCUUUAACGGGUCGGCUUAUCGGUGUGAUAAUAAAAUUACUACGCCGUGGUCGGGUUUCGUGAGUCGAGCUUCUAAUCGUCCUUUGGGACAAAUAACAUUUGACCUCUGACCUCAAAUCAGGUAGGAUUACCCGCUGAACUUAA